UACGAGGGGGGCAAGCGUUGUUCGGAAUUAUUGGGCGUAAAGAGCGUGUAGGCGGCUUGGUAGGUCCGCUGUGAAAACUCGAGGCUCAACCUCGAGAUGUCGGCGGAAACCACUUGGCUAGAGUCCGGAAGAGGAGAGUGGAAUUCCCGGUGUAGCGGUGAAAUGCGCAGAUAUCGGGAAGAACACCUAUGGCGAAGGCAGCUCUCUGGGACGGUACUGACGCUGAGACGCGAAAGCGUGGGGAGCGAACAGG
rnacentral:rRNA from 1 species